GAUGAAUGCUGGCGGCGUGCUUAACACAUGCAAGUCGAGCGGUAGGGCCCCUUCGGGGGUACACGAGCGGCGGACGGCUGAGUAACGCGUGGGAACAUGCCCCAAAGUGAGGAAUAAGCUCCAGAAAUGGAGUCUAAUGCCGCAUAUGAUCUUCGGAUUAAAGGAUUUAUCCGCUUUGGGAGUGGCCUGCGUACGAUUAG
rnacentral:rRNA from 1 species